GGGUUGUGAGGUUAAGCGACUAAGCGUACACGGUGGAUGCCCUGGCAGUCAGAGGCGAUGAAGGACGUGCUAAUCUGCGAAAAGCGUCGGUAAGGUGAUAUGAACCGUUAUAACCGGCGAUGUCCGAAUGGGGAAACCCAGUGUGAUUCGUCACACUAUCGUUAACUGAAUACAUAGGUUAACGAGGCGAACCGGGGGAACUGAAACAUCUAAGUACCCCGAGGAAAAGAAAUCAACCGAGAUUCCCCCAGUAGCGGCGAGCGAACGGGGAGCAGCCCAGAGUCUGAAUCAGCUUGUGUGUUAGUGGAACGGUCUGGAAAGUCCGACGGUACAGGGUGAUAGUCCCGUACACCAAAAUGCACAGGCUGUGAACUCGAAGAGUAGGGCGGGACACGUGGUAUCCUGUCUGAAUAUGGGGGGACCAUCCUCCAAGGCUAAAUACUCCUGACUGACCGAUAGUGAACCAGUACCGUGAGGGAAAGGCGAAAAGAACCCCGGCGAGGGGAGUGAAAAAGAACCUGAAACCGUGUACGUACAAGCAGUGGGAGCACCUUCGGGUGUGACUGCGUACCUUUUGUAUAAUGGGUCAGCGACUUAUAUUCUGUAGCAAGGUUAACCGUAUAGGGGAGCCGCAGGGAAACCGAGUCUUAACUGGGCGUUAAGUUGCAGGGUAUAGACCCGAAACCCGGUGAUCUAGCCAUGGGCAGGUUGAAGGUUGGGUAACACUAACUGGAGGACCGAACCGACUAAUGUUGAAAAAUUAGCGGAUGACUUGUGGCUGGGGGUGAAAGGCCAAUCAAACCGGGAGAUAGCUGGUUCUCCCCGAAAGCUAUUUAGGUAGCGCCUCGUGAAUUCAUCUUCGGGGGUAGAGCACUGUUUCGGCUAGGGGGUCAUCCCGACUUACCAACCCGAUGCAAACUACGAAUACCGAAGAAUGUUAUCACGGGAGACACACGGCGGGUGCUAACGUCCGUCGUGAAGAGGGAAACAACCCAGACCGCCAGCUAAGGUCCCAAAGUCAUGGUUAAGUGGGAAACGAUGUGGGAAGGCACAGACAGCCAGGAUGUUGGCUUAGAAGCAGCCAUCAUUUAAAGAAAGCGUAAUAGCUCACUGGUCGAGUCGGCCUGCGCGGAAGAUGUAACGGGGCUAAACCAUGCACCGAAGCUGCGGCAGCGACACUAUGUGUUGUUGGGUAGGGGAGCGUUCUGUAAGCCUGCGAAGGUGACCUGUGAGGGUUGCUGGAGGUAUCAGAAGUGCGAAUGCUGACAUAAGUAACGAUAAAGCGGGUGAAAAGCCCGCUCGCCGGAAGACCAAGGGUUCCUGUCCAACGUUAAUCGGGGCAGGGUGAGUCGACCCCUAAGGCGAGGCCGAAAGGCGUAGUCGAUGGGAAACAGGUUAAUAUUCCUGUACUUGGUGUUACUGCGAAGGGGGGACGGAGAAGGCUAUGUUAGCCGGGCGACGGUUGUCCCGGUUUAAGCAUGUAGGCUGGUUAUCCAGGCAAAUCCGGAUAAUCAAGGCUGAGGUGUGAUGACGAGGCACUACGGUGCUGAAGUAACAAAUGCCCUGCUUCCAGGAAAAGCCUCUAAGCAUCAGGUAACAUCAAAUCGUACCCCAAACCGACACAGGUGGUCAGGUAGAGAAUACCAAGGCGCUUGAGAGAACUCGGGUGAAGGAACUAGGCAAAAUGGUGCCGUAACUUCGGGAGAAGGCACGCUGGUGUGUAGGUGAAGUCCCUGCGGAUGGAGCUGAGACCAGUCGAAGAUACCAGCUGGCUGCAACUGUUUAUUAAAAACACAGCACUGUGCAAACACGAAAGUGGACGUAUACGGUGUGACGCCUGCCCGGUGCCGGAAGGUUAAUUGAUGGGGUUAUCCGUAAGGAGAAGCUCUUGAUCGAAGCCCCGGUAAACGGCGGCCGUAACUAUAACGGUCCUAAGGUAGCGAAAUUCCUUGUCGGGUAAGUUCCGACCUGCACGAAUGGCGUAAUGAUGGCCAGGCUGUCUCCACCCGAGACUCAGUGAAAUUGAACUCGCUGUGAAGAUGCAGUGUACCCGCGGCAAGACGGAAAGACCCCGUGAACCUUUACUAUAGCUUGACACUGAACAUUGAGCCUUGAUGUGUAGGAUAGGUGGGAGGCUUUGAAGCGUGGACGCCAGUCUGCGUGGAGCCAACCUUGAAAUACCACCCUUUAAUGUUUGAUGUUCUAACGUUGGCCCCUGACCGGGGUUGCGGACAGUGUCUGGUGGGUAGUUUGACUGGGGCGGUCUCCUCCCAAAGCGUAACGGAGGAGCACGAAGGUUAGCUAAUCCUGGUCGGACAUCAGGAGGUUAGUGCAAUGGCAUAAGCUAGCUUGACUGCGAGCGUGACGGCGCGAGCAGGUGCGAAAGCAGGUCAUAGUGAUCCGGUGGUUCUGAAUGGAAGGGCCAUCGCUCAACGGAUAAAAGGUACUCCGGGGAUAACAGGCUGAUACCGCCCAAGAGUUCAUAUCGACGGCGGUGUUUGGCACCUCGAUGUCGGCUCAUCACAUCCUGGGGCUGAAGUAGGUCCCAAGGGUAUGGCUGUUCGCCAUUUAAAGUGGUACGCGAGCUGGGUUUAGAACGUCGUGAGACAGUUCGGUCCCUAUCUGCCGUGGGCGCUGGAGAAUUGAGGGGGGCUGCUCCUAGUACGAGAGGACCGGAGUGGACGCAUCACUGGUGUUCGGGUUGUCAUGCCAAUGGCACUGCCCGGUAGCUAAAUGCGGAAGAGAUAAGUGCUGAAAGCAUCUAAGCACGAAACUUGCCCCGAGAUGAGUUCUCCCUGAGACUUUAAGUCUCCUGAAGGAACGUUGAAGACGACGACGUUGAUAGGCCGGGUGUGUAAGCGCAGCGAUGCGUUGAGCUAACCGGUACUAAUGAACCGUGAGGCUUAACCUUACAACGCCGAAG
rnacentral:rRNA from 1 species